GCCCGCUCGCCGGAAGACCAAGGGUUCCUGUCCAACGUUAAUCGGGGCAGGGUGAGUCGACCCCUAAGGCGAGGCCGAAAGGCGUAGUCGAUGGGAAACGGGUUAAUAUUCCCGUACUUGGUGUUACUGCGAAGGGGGGACGGAGAAGGCUAUGUUGGCCGGGCGACGGUUGUCCCGGUUUAAGCGUGUAGGUGUGUGUUCCAGGUAAAUCCGGUUCACUUUAACACUGAGGCGUGAUGACGAGGCACUACGGUGCUGAAGCAACAAAUGCCCUGCUUCCAGGAAAAGCCUCUAAGCAUCAGGUAACAUCAAAUCGUACCCCAAACCGACACAGGUGGUCAGGUAGAGAAUACCAAGGCGCUUGAGAGAACUCGGGUGAAGGAACUAGGCAAAAUGGUGCCGUAACUUCGGGAGAAGGCACGCUGACACGUAGGUGAAGUGAUUUACUCAUGGAGCUGAAGUCAGUCGAAGAUACCAGCUGGCUGCAACUGUUUAUUAAAAACACAGCACUGUGCAAACACGAAAGUGGACGUAUACGGUGUGACGCCUGCCCGGUGCCGGAAGGUUAAUUGAUGGGGUCAGCGCAAGCGAAGCUCCUGAUCGAAGCCCCGGUAAACGGCGGCCGUAACUAUAACGGUCCUAAGGUAGCGAAAUUCCUUGUCGGGUAAGUUCCGACCUGCACGAAUGGCGUAAUGAUGGCCAGGCUGUCUCCACCCGAGACUCAGUGAAAUUGAACUCGCUGUGAAGAUGCAGUGUACCCGCGGCAAGACGGAAAGACCCCGUGAACCUUUACUAUAGCUUGACACUGAACAUUGAGCCUUGAUGUGUAGGAUAGGUGGGAGGCUUUGAAGUGUGGACGCCAGUCUGCAUGGAGCCGGCCUUGAAAUACCACCCUUUAAUGUUUGAUGUUCUAACGUGGACCCGUGAUCCGGGUUGCGGACAGUGUCUGGUGGGUAGUUUGACUGGGGCGGUCUCCUCCUAAAGAGUAACGGAGGAGCACGAAGGUUGGCUAAUCCUGGUCGGACAUCAGGAGGUUAGUGCAAUGGCAUAAGCCAGCUUGACUGCGAGCGUGACGGCGCGAGCAGGUGCGAAAGCAGGUCAUAGUGAUCCGGUGGUUCUGAAUGGAAGGGCCAUCGCUCAACGGAUAAAAGGUACUCCGGGGAUAACAGGCUGAUACCGCCCAAGAGUUCAUAUCGACGGCGGUGUUUGGCACCUCGAUGUCGGCUCAUCACAUCCUGGGGCUGAAGUAGGUCCCAAGGGUAUGGCUGUUCGCCAUUUAAAGUGGUACGCGAGCUGGGUUUAGAACGUCGUGAGACAGUUCGGUCCCUAUCUGCCGUGGGCGCUGGAGAACUGAGGGGGGCUGCUCCUAGUACGAGAGGACCGGAGUGGACGCAUCACUGGUGUUCGGGUUGUCAUGCCAAUGGCACUGCCCGGUAGCUAAAUGCGGAAGAGAUAAGUGCUGAAAGCAUCUAAGCACGAAACUUGCCCCGAGAUGAGUUCUCCCUGAGACUUUAGGUCUCCUGAAGGAACGUUGAAGACGACGACGUUGAUAGGCCGGGUGUGUAAGCGCAGCGAUGCGUUGAGCUAACCGGUACUAAUGAACCGUGAGGCUUAACCUUACA
rnacentral:rRNA from 1 species